rnacentral:tRNA from 1 species
GCUCGGGUGGCGAAACGGGUAGACGCGAGGGACUUAAAAUCCCUUCCCGGCAACGGGGUCCCAGUUCGAGUCUGGGCCCGAGCA